UGGGGAAUUUUGGACAAUGGGCGAAAGCCUGAUCCAGCAAUGCCGCGUGUGUGAAGAAGGCCUUCGGGUUGUAAAGCACUUUUGUCCGGAAAGAAAUCCUCUGGGUUAAUACCUCGGGGGGAUGACGGUACCGGAAGAAUAAGCACCGGCUAACUACGUGCCAGCAGCCGCGGUAAUACGUAGGGUGCAAGCGUUAAUCGGAAUUACUGGGCGUAAAGCGUGCGCAGGCGGUUUUGUAAGACGGAUGUGAAAUCCCCGGGCUUAACCUGGGAACUGCAUUCGUGACUGCAAGGCUAGAGUAUGGCAGAGGGGGGUAGAAUUCCACGUGUAGCAGUGAAAUGCGUAGAGAUGUGGAGGAAUACCGAUGGCGAAGGCAGCCCCCUGGGCCAAUACUGACGCUCAUGCACGAAAGCGUGGGGGAGCAAACAGGAUUAGAUACCCUGGUAGUCCACGCCCUAAAACGAUGUCAACUAGUUGUUGGGGAUUCAUUUCCUUAGUAACGUAGCCAACGCGUGAAGUUGACCGCCUGGGGAGUACGGUCGCAAGAUUAAAACUUAAAGGAAUUGACGGGG
rnacentral:rRNA from 1 species